rnacentral:tRNA from 1 species
UCGAAAAUCGGUAGACGCUACGGACUUAAAUUUUGAGCCUUAGUAGAGAAAUCUACUAAGUGACUGUUUUCACAUUCAGGGAAACCUAAGGUUUGAGAUAUAAGGUAAUCCUGAGCCAAAUUUUAUUUAUGAAAUAGGUGCAGAGACUCGAAGGAAACUAUCCUAACGAAAAAGUUUUUCUUUAUUUUUUAUUACGAGUAGUGGUUAAAUACACAAUACAAAAUAUAUUCAAAAUAAUAAAAAUAUCUGAAUACUAAAUAUUCAUAUUAGUUUUUAAAUAAAUUCUAAUAGACGAGGAUAAAGAUAGAGUCCUUUUUUACAAUCUAUAUAAUUUUUACUUAUAGAUAAUUGUAAAAAGAAAAUCCGUUGGCUUUAAUAGACCUUGAGGGUUCAAGUCCCUCUACCCCCA